CUAAGGCUUGGAACCAUGUAGCAGGUUCAGAGUUCCUUAAGAGGCCAGGAAAGGUUAGUGGUGAAGGCAAGACCCAGUUUCUGGGACCCAAGCAUUUUGGAGAUGCCAGCAUCCUGGGAUGACUGCCAAGGACAGUAGCAACUGUGGAAUGGAGCCAGCCUGAGCCUAGGAGACACUCUGAGUGUACUGUGGCAAGUCCUCUGGAGCCCAGAAGACUAUUAAUAGAAUACAAUUGUCAUGGUUGUAGAAGUUCAAGAGAUGCCCAGAGCAAUAUAGAGUAUUGCCAUUGCCCUUGGUUUACUCUCAGAACCUGAAGAUUUGCAAGGUUUGGGAUGAUCAUCAGAAAAAAGAAUAAAUUUCCUAUAUGCUGAGCUCACUGUCAGAAAGGAUAACAUAUUCAAGUAUUCAGGAUUUCCCAAGCUUGUCCUAAUGUUUGGCUGUGGAUCUCUGCAUUUGUUUCUGCCAGUUACUGGAUGAAGUCUCUCUGCUGACAACUGGGGUAAGUA